AGACAGAAACGAAAAAAGGUCAGUUUUUUCAUUUUCUGAGGCCGGAAGUGGUCAUCAGCAAGUGUGGAGCCAGAGUAAAGUGCAUAGACUGUAUAUACAUUUUUUUUCGUUAGUUUUCAUGGUCAAAAUGAGAGAUCAGGUGGCCGAUCCUAAAAUAAAUCAAUAUUGAUUUAUUUUUUUUAUUUAUAGAGCGUUAAAGUUUUGCGAAGCCAGGGGGCGGGGUUACUUGAUUGAAAGUCCGGUCUGGAAUGAUUGACAGGUGCUAUGGAGGAGGCAGCAGAGACUCUGCUCUCCUCGUUUGGAUUAAUUCUAAUAUAAUAACUGUUGGUUUAUUUAUCAGUGCAGCAGCAGAACAAUUUCCACAGACAGUUUUCCUGCCCGUUGGCUUGUUUUAACCAGUUUUCUACCUUCGGCUGAUUCUACCAGCAGACACUGAAAGGACUCUAAUAGUUCGAGUGAAAGUAGCAGUUCCUCCUGAAGGUCAGAGAUUGCAGCAUCUGAGGGCCUCUUCAAAAGAAGAUGUAGUUGAUGAAGGCGUUCUGGAGCAGGACCAGAAAGACCACGACCAAGCAGCCUUCAGAUCUUAGGCAGCAUCUCCCUGAGGUCCCUCUCUAUCUCCCCACACAUCCACCAACCACUGGAACACAUCUCCAAAGUUCUGCCGGGCCAGCUCAGCUUCCCCUCAGAAGAAGUGGUGCCACCUGCCAGAUGAAGGAGCCUUUUGAGAGGCAGCUGGCAUCGUGAUUGGACUGUACUUUGGUCUGUUCCAAUCCAGCUUCAGCUCCAGAGACGGCAGGCGGGACGAGUCAACGGAGGCCUGGUGGACGAAGGCAUGCAGCUGAGUACAAUCCAGAAAACAACAGAGGAGGAGUGCAGCAGCCCAGAGCCAGAACAAACAGAGUAGCAUCGUAUGUCUCUAAGAAAACAUUAUAGUAUAGCCCAGGGGUCACUAACUGGCAGACCGCAGUCUGGAUCCGGACCCAGACGCCGUCUUAUACGGACCAGACCUGUAAUCAGUAAACUGUAACGGGAUUGUAAAUUUAACCGGUCGCUUCUGUUUUACCGGCACAGCUUUCCCAGCGUUUACGGCAUUAGUUAUCAGCUCAGGAAACACACAGACCAAUUACGUACGAGUUCAGCCAUCCCACGUGACGCUACUCAGCCAAUGAAGUCUCUGCAUUGCAGCUGCUAAACAUCACAGUUCUGCGUUCAGAAAACAGUUGAGAGGUGAGAGACAGACAAAAAAGGAAAAUGAAUAAAGCGACACCGAGAGGGAAAUAGCCCUGCACAUGCUGACCAUGUUUGGCUCAACAUACAGCUGGAGGCACCUUUCUCAACUAUGAACAUAAUCAAAACUGAAUAUCGUUCCAGACUGACCAAUGAGCUCCAAAUGUGUUUGAGAAUGGCCCUGACACCAUUCAGACCACAAUUCAAAAUACACAAUUCAAAAAAUAUUGGCAGGGCAAACUGCAGCUCAGUUCUCCCAUUAAGCAGCAUGGGAUAUAAGGGGAGUAACAAGACAGGGGAAAAAAAUGUAAAAGUGUUCAAAUGUUUACAUUUUUUGAGAUUUAGGUAUAGUUAAAGAUGUAUAUAAGCUGGUUCGGGUUGUUUAGUCAUUACUUUUUCAAGUUCUGCGCUUAAUUUUAAGAUGUAUAGUUAUAUCAAAAGUUAUUUGUUAAUAAAUGUUGUCAAAAUGUUUUUGAACUGUACUGAAUUUAUUUGAUUUGAUGGUCAGUUAUUGAUUACAUGCACACGCUGAUAAAACUUCUAGGUUACAUCAUCAUAUAUCGCACUAAUUGAAGUUAGACUUUAUGAUGUUCCGGACCUUUGCUUUAAUACAUUUUCUCUGACUGGACCUCUUUGAAUUUUAGUUGAAUACCCCUGGUAUAGCCUUUGGUAUGAAAAAACACCAUCAUAUACAUCGUAUAUUGUACAAAUAACAAGUCAAAGGAAAGAAACAUACAUUGUAGAAUUGUAGUAAUUGUGGGCUGACUGAUGUACUGAUUAUCAGUAUUUUAUUUUUUACUGAUUUACGGUAAUAAAUACAUUUAAAAAUGG